CAGAAAAUGAUUUCACAAAAAAAAGAGUGUUCAUGUAGUUGUAUUACAUUUAAGAUCGAGUCUAGAGUGUUUCAUUUAGGAUUGUUGCAUAUGCAUCGGGGAUAAUGAUGAGAUAGCCUUGUAAGCAUUUUGGUUCACCGGAUAAACUCAGUGCCCUCGUUGCUAGUUGUCUGUUGCGUAGUCAAUGAAUUUGAAAAUAAACUGAACCAUGCCUAGAUUGCUCUAUCAAUUUGAACCUGAAUCUGAUCUUUAAUUAUCAUGUCUGCAUCAAAUUUGAACUCAUGGAUACCCUAAAAUACUUGGAUUUUCUUAUUCAUUUUGAU
rnacentral:sRNA from 1 species